AGAGUUUGAUCCUGGCUCAGAUUGAACGCUGGCGGCAGGCCUAACACAUGCAAGUCGAGCGGUAGCACAGAGAGCUUGCUCUUGGGUGACAAGCGGCGGACGGGUGAGUAACGCGUAGGAAUCUACCUAGUAGUGGGGGACAACAGUUGGAAACGACUGCUAAUACCGCAUACGCCCUAAGGGAGAAAGCAGGGGACCUUCGGGCCUUGCGCUAUCAGAUGAGCCUAGGUCGGAUUAGCUAGUUGGUGAGGUAACGGCUCACCAAGGCGACGAUCCGUAACUGGUCUGAGAGGAUGAUCAGUCACACUGGAACUGAGACACGGUCCAGACUCCUACGGGAGGCAGCAGUGGGGAAUAUUGGACAAUGGGCGAAAGCCUGAUCCAGCCAUGCCGCGUGUGUGAAGAAGGUCUUCGGAUUGUAAAGCACUUUAAGUUGGGAGGAAGGGCAUUAACCUAAUACGUUAGUGUUUUGACGUUACCGACAGAAUAAGCACCGGCUAACUUCGUGCCAGCAGCCGCGGUAAUA
rnacentral:rRNA from 1 species